UAAGCUAGUAAAGGAAAAUAGAAAAUUGUAGGAGAAGAAAGAGGAGAAGAGAGGGAGAGUAGAAGGGAGCAAAAUCGAGAAGAGAUAGAGAAAAAAGAAGGUUCGAAUGAGCAAAACCGCAAGACAAGGGUUUCAAUCUCUCUCGAUAUUGCAUUCUCUACCCAAUUUUUUCUUUGAAUUUGAAGAUUUGUAUUCCGACUUCGAUUAAUUAGAUGUUUUGUUGUUUUUGUGAAGUGAAGGUGCACUCUCUGCUUAAUGUUUUAAUGUUGAUUUUUGGGAUUUUUUUUGAAAUGAACGAGAUGAGUUUUCUGAGGUUUCACAUUAGGGCUAGGGUUUUGAGAUCUUUCAGAGCAUUUUUAUUCUCUGAUACUUUUUUGAGUUUGAGAUUUCUUGAUGCUUUCGGAUGAUUAGUUGUUUUUGAAUGGGACACUUGUGCACAUCAUUUUUUCUAUUGGGUUUAUCAGUAUGUUGGCAUUUUGUGAAUGAUUUGUUAGGUAUAUGGGGUGAAGAUUUAAUCUGGAGAGUUUCUGGGUUGAGGAAUUGUGAUUUUUAAAUUUAGAUUUUAAUGAUUUUAGGACUUGCAAUUUGGGUAUACCAACACAACAAAAAUAAGUGUGAAUUAUCAAAUUACUCCUCAAAAAGAUGAUUGACUAUUGAAAUCAAUGAAGACCUAUCACUUGAUUUGAUAAUUCACAAAUUUUUUUUGGUUUUUGUUGAAAAAAAUAUAAAUUAUGGUUGUGCUACUAAAAUUUUUGUUCGUUUAGAACAUGUAUGAUAUGGGAAAGGUAUAUUGAAAUUGAAACAAAAAUGUGUAUUUACAUCUGUGUAUUUAGAACAUGUGUACUUGUUCGUUUUGUGUGAUUUUGAACUCAGAUUUCUAUAAAUUGAGGUUUUUUUUUUUUUUUUUGAUGAUUGAACACAAAACAACUCGCUCUCUGGAGUUUCGAGAAGUUUAUCUCUGUAAAUUGGGUCUUUAGUCACUUUAUUACAGUUAAAUUAUUAAAUAAGUUCAAUAAUAUAAAUAUUGACAUGUAGUUUUAAAUGUUAACUUCAGAGUAUUUUAGAAUGAAAUUUUAUUUUGACCACGCGCUUUCUUAAUAUUAAGUAUGAGGUUGUUUCUUUUAUAUUCUAAGAAAUUGCUAUUACAAUUCUCUGAUAUGUUACAUUCUGUUGUUGUGUGUAUUGUGUUUGCCUUUGGGUGCUGCUGCUGGAAGAUGAUAAGAGGAGGCUUUCAAAACAGAGUUUGCAGUGCAUCUGCUAGUGCUGUUGGAGAGCUAUCCCUGCUAAUUGCUGCUGCUGCCAGUUGUUGUUGCUGAUUUUUGCUGCUACAGAGCUAUUUUAGGUGCUGAUUUUGGUGCUGUUAAUUGCUGUUUUGGGUGCUCAUUUUGGUGCUGGUUUUUUUCUUGGCUUUGGUUAGUUGCUCACCAACUCUUGAUGGCGUGCUAGCAAGGGAUUGGACGGGCAUAUUGGUGCCAACUUAAUUGGGAUUGGUGUGUUGGUAUUAUGCCCUCUUGAUCCUCAGCUUCUUUUUAAGUUCCAUAUUUGAGAGAUUCGUGAAUGUGAUCACCUAACUAUGAAGGGACCCAAGUAGAGGCAAUGUGUCUUAUUAUUGGAAUUCAUAUGGGAUCAAGAUCAAGAAACAGUAUGCAGUGUUUGAUUCCAAGGUUCUUAGUAAAAUUCCAAGAGGACCAUUGAAAGGCAAGAAAAGGGCUGUUGUCGGUCUGAUGGUCUCAGGAAAAGGGCCCUGCUGGUCUGAUGCUACUGGUGGCUGAUGGCUAUUGCUUGCUGGUCUACUGGUGUUGCUGCUACCCUGGUGGCUGAUGGAUUGCUUCUGCUGCUGCAAUGUUGCUAUGAGGUGGUUGCUACUAGAUACUGGUCUGCUGCAAAUUUCUAAUAGUGGUCUUUAUUUAGAGUCUUGUAAAUGGUUAUUGCUUCUCCAGAUGUGUGCCUCAUGGGAGAGGGAUUCUUGUUUACCCAAACAGCCCACCAUAAGGUACAUGUGAGAUGCUUCCUCCAAGGCAAUAGCGUUGAUGGAGUUUUGGGAAGCAAGAGCUUC